rnacentral:tRNA from 1 species
GCGCCUGUAGCUCAGUGGAUUAGAGCACUAGCCUACGAAGCUAGGGGUCGCAGGUUCGAAUCCUGCCAGGCGCA